CCUACGGGAGGCAGCAGUGGGGAAUAUUGCACAAUGGGCGCAAGCCUGAUGCAGCCAUGCCGCGUGUGUGAAGAAGGCCUUCGGGUUGUAAAGCACUUUCAGCGGGGAGGAAGGCGGUGAGGUUAAUAACCUCAUCGAUUGACGUUACCCGCAGAAGAAGCACCGGCUAACUCCGUGCCAGCAGCCGCUGUAAUACGGAGGGUGCAAGCGUUAAUCGGAAUUACUGGGCGUAAAGCGCACGCAGGCGGUCUGUCAAGUCGGAUGUGAAAUCCCCGGGCUCAACCUGGGAACUGCAUUCGAAACUGGCAGGCUAGAGUCUUGUAGAGGGGGGUAGAAUUCCAGGUGUAGCGGUGAAAUGCGUAGAGAUCUGGAGGAAUACCGGUGGCGAAGGCGGCCCCCUGGACAAAGACUGACGCUCAGGUGCGAAAGCGUGGGGAGCAAACAGGAUUAGAUACCCGAGUAGUC
rnacentral:rRNA from 1 species